rnacentral:rRNA from 1 species
AUUGAACGCUGGCGGCAUGCCUUACACAUGCAAGUCGAACGGUAACGGGCCUUCGGGUGCCGACGAGUGGCGAACGGGUGAGUAAUGUAUAGGAACGUACCUUUCAGUGGGGGAUAACGUAGCGAAAGUUACGCUAAUACCGCAUAUUCUGUGUGCAAGAAAGCAGGGGAUCGAAAGACCUUGCGCUGAUUGAGCGGCCGAUAUCAGAUUAGCUAGAUGGGGAGGUAAAGGCUCACCAAGGCGACGAUCUGUAGCGGGUCUGAGAUGAUGAUCCGCCACACUGGAACUGAGACACGGUCCAGACUCCUACGGGCGGCAGCAGUGGGGAAUUUUGGACAUUGGGGGCAACCCUGAUCCAGCCAUGCCGCGUGAGUGAAGAAGGCCUUCGGGUUGUAAAGCUCUUUCGGCCGGGAAGAAAUCGUAUCAGCUAAUACCUGGUGCGGAUGACGGUACCGGCAUAAGAAGCACCGGCUAACUACGUGCCAGCAGCCGCCGUAACAC